rnacentral:rRNA from 1 species
AUUGAACGCUGGCGGCAUGCUUUACACAUGCGAGUCGAACGGCAGCGCGGGCUUCGGCCUGGCGGCGAGUGGCGAACGGGUGAGUAAUACAUCGGAACGUGCCCAGUAGUGGGGGAUAGCUCGGCGAAAGCCGGAUUAAUACCGCAUACGACCUGAGGGUGAAAGCGGGGGAUCUUCGGACCUCGCGCUAUUGGAGCGGCCGAUGGCAGAUUAGCUAGUUGGUGGGGUAAAGGCCUACCAAGGCGACGAUCUGUAGCUGGUCUGAGAGGACGACCAGCCACACUGGGACUGAGACACGGCCCAGGCUCCUACGGGAGGCAGCAGUGGGGAAUUUUGGACAAUGGGCGAAAGCCUGAUCCAGCAAUGCCGCGUGUGUGAUGAAGGCCUUCGGGUUGUAAAGCACUUUUGGCGGGAACGAAAAGGACUGUGCCAAUACCACGGUUCGAUGACGGUACCCGCAGAAUAAGCACCGGCUAACUACGUG